rnacentral:rRNA from 1 species
UCUUAGACAUAAAUCAAUUCUUUUACCAGAGUACUACGAACACUAAGUUUAAAACUCAAAGAGCUUGGCGGUGCUUUAGACUUCUCAGGGGAACCUGUCUCGUAAUCGACAGUCCACGAACCAACCUCACCUUUCCUUGUAAUCAGUAUGUAUACCGUCGUCGUCAGGUAACUUUUAAAAAUAAAGAAGUUAGCAACUAAACAAGUUAGUUUUCACGUCAGAUCAAGGUGCAGCCUAUGGAAAGGAGUAGAUGGGUUACAAUUAAAAUUCAUAAUCACGAAUUUAACCUCUAACAAGUUUUUAAAGGCGGACUUGAAAGUAAAGCUUAGCAGCCAAAUAUCUUGAAUUAAGCUCUGAAGCG